rnacentral:rRNA from 1 species
GAGGGCGUGAAACUGUUUAGAAGCAAACAGAUGGAGCUGAUGGUUAUUCAGUGACAUACAGCUGGCCUGGUCAUGGGCAUCUGGUUGUUGAAUGAUUCUUUCAAUUUACCAGUUUUUUUAUGAUCAGCUGGUGCAUUUGUCAUUGAUGUGCACUAGAACUCAUGCAAAUGCUGGAUGGAUGGCAGAAGUAGAUGGCCAUUUUGUUGGUAACAUGCUCCUGUCUGAAGCCAAGUUUUUUGUAUGAGAUACUAUGAGCAUCCGCCUACUUGACAGUGAAGAAAGCAUUUGCAGUUGAACUGUGGUUUUGUGCUUGCACAACUCCAUGAAUCCUACAAUUGUGGACUUUGCUGGCUGAGCUGAUGUUUUUUUCUGGUGUUUUUGUCAGUAACCCAUCUGACCCGUCUUGAAACACGGACCAAGGAGUCUAACAUGUGCGCAAGUCACUGGAUUGCAAAAUCUAUUGGCGCAAUGAAAGUAAAGCCCAGUAUGUCUGGGUUACAUGGGACCUUUCACAUUGUGGAAGAGCACCAUGGUCCUGUCCAUACUGCAUUGCCAGUGGGGCAGAGAUAGAGCGUAUUUGUUGGGACCCGAAAGAUGGUGAACUAUGCCUGAGCAGGAUGAAGUCAGAGGAAACUCUGAUGGAGGUUCAUAGCGAUUCUGACGUGCAAAUCGAUCGUCGGACUUGGG